CCUACGGGUGGCUGCAGUGGGGAAUAUUGGACAAUGGGGGCAACCCUGAUCCAGCCAUGCCGCGUGUGUGAAGAAGGCCCUCGGGUUGUAAAGCACUUUCAGUGAGGAAGAACGCCUGGUGGUUAAUACCCAUCAGGAAAGACAUCACUCACAGAAGAAGCACCGGCUAACUCCGUGCCAGCAGCCGCGGUAAUACGGAGGGUACGAGCGUUAAUCGGAAUUACUGGGCGUAAAGCGCGCGUAGGUGGCUUGAUAAGCCGGUUGUGAAAGCCCCGGGCUCAACCUGGGAACGGCAUCCGGAACUGUCAAGCUAGAGUGCAGGAGAGGAAGGUAGAAUUCCCGGUGUAGCGGUGAAAUGCGUAGAGAUCGGGAGGAAUACCAGUGGCGAAGGCGGCCUUCUGGACUGACACUGACACUGAGGUGCGAAAGCGUGGGUAGCAAACAGGAUUAGAUACCCCGGUAGUC
rnacentral:rRNA from 1 species